GUGAUGUCAUUUCCUCAUAUCCAGGACUCAUUUUUUUUUCAUUUCCACGGCGACACGCCGCGAAAUGUCCAUCGGAUCAUUCGUUAACCUAAUUUUAUAACAUCAAGACACAAACUCCCUCCCUCAGCUCGGUCUCUAACCAGACCAUGCCCCCCGUCGCACUCUCUCUAACCCGACCACGGGCCCUGCUGUCUCUCUCUAAGCCCUCUGUCUCUCAUACCACAAACUCUCUCUCUCUCUAAGCCCACUCUUUCAGGACCGAAAUCUCUUCCCCCUCCCAUUCUCUCUCUAAACCUCCCUCGCUUCCUCUCUCAAUUUGUCUCUCUCUCUAAGCCCAGUCUCUCUCAUUCUUAGAUCACUCUCUCUCUUACCAUUCCCCCAUUAUCUCUUUUUUAAUUUUUACCAGGGUUUGCAUAUUUUUGGGAAAUGUAGACACAACAUUGGCUUGUUCAAUCUCUCUGCAAGCCCACAAGGCUUGGAAUGACGAUCGAUUUUAUACCAAUUUUGAGCCAUGAUCAUGAGACUUGAAGUUUGGAUGAAUCUUGAAAACUUCGGAUCGAUAGUGCGCUCGUUCCAUUAUGUUUUUCUUUUGUUUCUUCAUUGAAUCGCACUGAGUAUGCCAUUACGAUCAUGUUGCAACAAACGUAGCUCGAUUUUGUGUCUAGAUGAAGAUUUUGUUGUCUUGAGUUUUUUGUCAGAAUCUUGAAAUUCCGUAGCCAAAAUUUAUAGCGGCUUUGACACCUCCGUGUGUGAAAUCCAACCGUUCAUCAUAAUUGAUGAUCGGACAAGAGAUAGCUUCGGACCUUACGCACAUAAUGCAAUUGGUUUCGCGU